ACCCGCUGAAUUUAAGCAUAUAAUUAAGCGGAGGAAAAGAAAAUAACAAUGAUUCCAUUAGUAACGGCGAGUGAAACUGGAUCUAGUUCAGCCUGUGAAUCGCUACCUAGUAGCGAGUUGUGGCCUAUAGAAGAUGUGUCGGACAAGACUUUUUACUAAUUAUACUGGAACGUAUAGGCGAAGAGGUUGAGACCACCGUUCAUGUUUAAAGUUCUUGUCCAUGGCAUACACCUUCGACGAGUCGAUUUGCUUGGGAUUGCAGAUCAAAGUGUGACGUAAAUUUGUCAUAAAACUAAAUAUUGGUGGGAAACCGAUAGCGAACAAGUAAUGUGAAUGAAAGUUGCAAAGAACUUUGAAAAGAGAGUUAAAGAGUACUCGAAAUCGUUGAAAGGGAAGMUYAYGUAAACAGUGUUUCACUGUAUCAUCUUUCCUCACUGACUUGUCAUUGAGGCGCUGUGAUGCAGAGUUUGUCAACAAGGGUUUGGAUCGAAGCAUAAGUAUGGCUGGGAGGCACACGUCUUUUCGUGGAUUACCAGCUUGUCUCGUUUUGGUCUGGAUUGAGGCUAGUCUUCGUGUUGUUGUCGAAAUGUUUAUGUAAAUCCCGUCUUGAAACACGGACCAAGG
rnacentral:rRNA from 1 species